rnacentral:rRNA from 1 species
AACGAACGCUGGCGGCAUGCCUAACACAUGCAAGUCGAACGAGACCUUCGGGUCUAGUGGCGCACGGGUGCGUAACGCGUGGGAACCUGCCCUUAGGUUCGGAAUAACUCCCCGAAAGGGGUGCUAAUACCGGAUAAUGUCUUCGGACCAAAGAUUUAUCGCCUUUGGAUGGGCCCGCGUUGGAUUAGCUAGUUGGUAGGGUAAAAGCCUACCAAGGCGACUAUCCAUAGCUGGUCUGAGAGGAUGAUCAGCCACACUGGGACUGGGACACGGCCCAGACCGGACGGAGAGGCGGAGAGGGGGAAAAAAGGGGAGGGGGCGAGAGCCAGCACCGGCCCGGCCGGGAGAGUGUUGAAGGGGUUGGGGUUAAAAGUCUCUUUUGCCGGGGAGGGAGUGACGGUAACGGGGAAAAAAGCCCCGGCUAACCACGUG